rnacentral:rRNA from 1 species
GACGAACGCUGGCGGCGUGCUUAACACAUGCAAGUCGAACGGAAAGGCCCUGCUUUUGUGGGGUGCUCGAGUGGCGAACGGGUGAGUAACACGUGAGUAACCUGCCCUUGACUUUGGGAUAACUUCAGGAAACUGGGGCUAAUACCGGAUAGGAGCUCCUGCUGCAUGGUGGGGGUUGGAAAGUUUCGGCGGUUGGGGAUGGACUCGCGGCUUAUCAGCUUGUUGGUGGGGUAGUGGCUUACCAAGGCUUUGACGGGUAGCCGGCCUGAGAGGGUGACCGGCCACAUUGGGACUGAGAUACGGCCCAGACUCCUACGGGAGGCAGCAGUGGGGAAUAUUGCACAAUGGGCGGAACCCUGAUGCAGCAGCGCCGCGUGCGGGAUGACGGCCUUCGGGUUGUAAACCGCUUUCGCCUGUGACGAAGCGUGAGUGACGGUAAUGGGUAAAGAAGCACCGGCUAACUACGUG